AUUGAACGCUGGCGGCAGGCCUAACACAUGCAAGUCGAGCGGAUGAAGGGAGCUUGCUCCUGGAUUCAGCGGCGGACGGGUGAGUAAUGCCUAGGAAUCUGCCUGGUAGUGGGGGAUAACGUCCGGAAACGGGCGCUAAUACCGCAUACGUCCUGAGGGAGAAAGGGGGGGAUCUUCGGACCUCACGCUAUCAGAUGAGCCUAGGUCGGAUUAGCUAGUUGGUGGGGUAAAGGCCUACCAAGGCGACGAUCCGUAACUGGUCUGAGAGGAUGAUCAGUCACACUGGAACUGAGACACGGUCCAGACUCCUACGGGAGGCAGCAGUGGGGAAUAUUGGACAAUGGGCGAAAGCCUGAUCCAGCCAUGCCGCGUGUGUGAAGAAGGUCUUCGGAUUGUAAAGCACUUUAAGUUGGGAGGAAGGGCAGUAAGUUAAUACCUGGCUGUUUUGACGUUACCAACAGAAUAAGCACCGGCUAACUUCGUG
rnacentral:rRNA from 1 species